GCCUGAGUAAGAAAGCGGCAGAUCCUCUGGUUUGCCAGACAUACUUUUCUGGUUGCUCACAUCUCUAGUGUCACAACAGGAGCCAGGUUCACAAAAGGUGAGAGUUAGUAGGUAUAAGCAUCCAGGCAGUACGUUCAAAUUUACAUGUAUGUAAAACGACCCCACAUACCCAAAGACAUCGUUUUCUGAGCCUCUCACAUACACAGACGCUGCCAGAGUCCACAGAGCUCAUCCUUCAUUUGCGAUUCCUUUUCGACAUAUGUGCUUGGAAUUCAAGGGAAACAGGAUCCACGGGGGAUUGAUUUAUUACCAUUUGAAGACUGAAGAGAAGAGGCCUAGGAGCGUCUGAUUGAGGAAGCUGCGUGGGAAUCAUGUAGGCUGGGCCCAGAGAAACACUAGCCACAGAGACCUGUCCCUCCCUAAAGGACAGCCCCAGGGCCACUCCACUUCUACAGGUUCUGAAAUGGAGGAGCUGAGGGCUGCCCCAUAGUCACAUUCACUUUCGU
rnacentral:lncRNA from 1 species